ensembl:lncRNA LINC02325 long intergenic non-protein coding RNA 2325
GGAGAACAGGUAGGAGUGUUUUGCUGGAGUGGUCCUGAUGUGGGAUGAUGGCGGCCCAGAUGAGAGGGGUGGCAAAUGAAACAAGCAGAAAGGAGAGAUGUAGGCCAUGGAACAGACAGAAGAGGACAUGGCCAGUGAGUGAAUGAAAUGAGAUGAAGAGGUAAAAAAGCGAAGUAUGUACCCAAGAUUACAGCUAAACUAGGACUUGAACCCAUGUCUGUCUGAAGUCCGAGCUGAAACUUUGGCCACUAAAUUGCCCUGUCUCACUACAGAUGAGGAAAACAAAAGCUCAGAAACUAUCUUGGAGUCAGCAAGUAAGAAGGAGCUUAGAAAGGCUUAACAUUUUCCAUGCUUCUGCCUGGCUUCAGAGCCCAUGCACUCUGCCUUACCACGGCAGGUGAAAGAUGGCCCCAAAUUCUUAGGUACAUCUCCUGCCAAAAGACCCCUCCUAUGGGUUCUGUGACUACUUCAAUGAAAAGAAUAGGGCAGAAGAGAUGAUGAGAACUUAACAUCUGGCAGUGUCCAUUUCCUGUCUUUUGAAACUUUCUGUUAAAGGCCUGAGCCACGUAUGAAGUGUGAAUCUUCACACCAUGCAAGAGAAGCCACAUGUUAUUGCUCUGGUCAACAAUCCCAGCUGACCCAACCAGAUAGUGUAUCAGGCAUAUGAGUAAAGCAUUCUUAGAUUCUUCAGUCCAGCCCUUCACCAGCAGAACACCAUUCAGCAACCCUUGUCGGCAUCAUGUGGGACAGAAGAACCACCCAGCUGAGCCUUAUCCAAAUUCCUGACCACAAAAUCAUAAGGCACACUAAGACAUUCUGUGGAGGAAGGAAAGCCAUUGCUAUUCUUGUGCUGAUGAAAAGUGGCUUCUACUCACCUUUUAGCCCCAGAUCUGGAGGACUAUUUGGGAUCUUUUGCCCAUGUCUCCUCUGCAAGAUAAAUAGGUCUUUAUUCCCUCCACCACUUGGUGAGCUCCUAGGUGCAGUCGUGUAUGAGCCACCUCUCAAACAGGCUGUGAGUGAUCCAGGUGCAGGGGACCUGCUGGAGUGAAGCUUUUGGCAUGAUAAUUCAAUCCACGUUACUCCAUUGCCAUUUGUUACCACGUCCUUCAGUCUCCUCAAUCUCUCAGUCCCCUUAUUUUUCGUGACCUUGACAACUUUGAGGAGGACUCAUCAGUUCCUGCCCAGGCUGACUCUAUCAUACAAGCUGUAACUUCUGCCAGUCCUAUCAGCCAGCAAACAAUAAAAGCACUGAGGCUCACAAAAGUGAAGUAACUUUCCUCAAGUCCCAGGGCUGAGAAAUUGCAAACACAUAAUUUGGACUGAAGUUUGCCCCCUAUUCACUGGGGCCACCUGUCUGCCAAUGGGAGUAGGAAAGGCAUUCACCAUCAGAAGGCCACAAAGAGCUCUGAGGAACAAGUACACAAGGAGACAAAGCUGCAGCACUGCCAAGGACAUGGAUCUCUCAAGCUCCUGUCUGGCACAUUGCAGGAAGUAAGGGGCAUGUCUAACCACCACGCUCAGCCAAGCCAAAGAACAAAGGCAGCGGCACUCUCUCUGGACCUUGGGGAAUAACACAGCCCUCCCAGGCAGAAGAUGCAAGCAUUCCUGUUGCAGUGCAAUUAGGAGCAGCGAAGAAACUCAGACAUGUGCCCCUUCUGUGUUGGCAACUGAUAUGACAGAACUUCAUGAGGUGCAAAAUACAGGCUGUGUGUGUGUGUGUGUGUGUGUGUGCACACUCGGUGCUAUAUGCUGCAGCCCAAGUUUCAGAGUGAUUUUUAACUUGAAGCUGAUGAGAUGGGAUAUUGUGUCUUUUUUAAAAAUGUAACCAACAACAAA